GAAAUGCGAUAAGUAAUGUGAAUUGCAGAAUUCAGUGAAUCAUCGAAUCUUUGAACGCACAUUGCGCCCGUCAGCAUUCUGGCGGGCAUGCCUGUUCGAGCGUCAUUUCAACCCUCAGGACCCCCCUUUCGCGGGGAGGGACCUGGCGUUGGGGAUCGGCCCGCCCCCCGCGGCGGCGCCGUCCCCGAAAUCUAGUGGCGGUCUCGCUGCAGCCUCCCCUGCGUAGUAGUUACAACCUCGCAUCGGAGCGCGGCGCGGCCACGCCGUAAAACCCCCGACUUUCUGAACGUUGACCUCGGAUCAGGUAGGAAUCCCCGCUGAACUUAAGC
rnacentral:misc_RNA from 1 species